UACGAAGGGGGCUAGCGUUGCUCGGAAUCACUGGGCGUAAAGGGUGCGUAGGUGGUCGUUUAAGUCCGUUGUGAAAUCCCUGGGCUCAACCUGGGAAUGGCAGUGGAUACUGGACGGCUAGAAUGCGGUAGAGGGUAGUGGAAUUCCCGGUGUAGCAGUGAAAUGCGUAGAGAUCGGGAGGAACACCGGUGGCGAAGGCGGCGACCUGGGUAGAUACUGACGCUGAGGUGCGAAAGCGUGGGGAGCAAACAGG
rnacentral:rRNA from 1 species